rnacentral:lncRNA from 1 species
CUAGCCUCCCAGCCUACCUCUUUCUCUCAUGCUGGAUGCUUCCUGACCUUGAACAUCAGACUCCAAGUUCUUCAGUUUUGGAACUUGGACUGGCUCUCCUUGCUCCUCAGCCUGCAGUUGGCCUGUUGUGGGACCUUGUGAUCGUGUGAGUUAAUAAUAACCUUCCUUGUUUUAAAAGCACGUGGCAAAUCAGCAGCACCUUACAUUCUCUGGUAGCACCUGAGAAUGGUUGGGUUUGUAAAAGGUGAGUUAGAAGAUGUCCCUCAAUGAACGUUCUCAGACACAGUCCCCAGUGCUCACCAUAGAUCCUCAACAGUUUGAAAUCCAUUGACCAGGACAUAGCUUUGACUGAUAAAAGGAUAUCCCAAU